AUAGCCCUGCGAUGCCCGUGACUUCCGAAUAGUUUUGAGCCACAAACACAUUCAUGGGAGUCUGCCGUCCCACCCGCGAGGACACGCCUCCAUCGAGUGGACGUCCGGAACGGUUGGGCGAGACACCCACCUGCCAGGCGCAGGUUCAAAACUUCAGGAGCUGCACGGCAUUAUGGGGCUCCU
rnacentral:other from 3 species